AGUGAACGCUGGCGGCGUGGUUAAGACAUGCAAGUCGAGCGACCCAUUCUUCGGAAUGGGGAGCGGCGAACGGGUGCGUAACACGUGAGUGACCUGCCUUUAAGUGGGGGAUAACCCGUCGAAAGACGGAUUAAUACCGCAUGUGGUCCUAUAUUUAAAUAUAUGGGUACUAAAGCUUGUGAAGGCGCUUAAAGAGGGGCUCGCGGCCUAUCAGCUAGUUGGUGAGGUAAUGGCUCACCAAGGCUAAGACGGGUAGCCGGUCUGAGAGGAUGAUCGGCCACACUGGAACUGAGAUACGGUCCAGACACCUACGGGUGGCAGCAG
rnacentral:rRNA from 1 species